CGGACGGGUGAGUAACACGUGGGUACCUAUCCCAAGGUGAGGAAUACUGGCGAGAAAUCGCCAACAAUACCGCAUAGGUUUGCGAGAGCGCAAACAAAGCUCGGCAACGGGCGCCAUGGGAAGGGCCUGCGGCCGAUUAGCUGGUUGGUGGGGUAAAAGCCUCCCAAGGCGACGAUCGGUAGCUGGUCUGAGAGGAUGGUCAGNCACACUGGGAUUGAGAACGGCCCAGACUCCUACGGGGGGCAGCAGUGAGGAAUAUUCGUCAAUGGGGGCAACCCUGAACGAGCAACGCCGCGUGCAGGAAGAAGGUUUUCGGAUCGUAAACUGCUUUUCUGUGGGACGAGAACGGACGGUACCACAGGAAUCAGCCCCGGCUAACUACGUGCCAGCCGCCGCGG
rnacentral:rRNA from 1 species